UGCAAACGGGACCCACGGACUGCAAACGGGACCCACGGACUGCAAACGGGACCCAUGGACUGCAAACGGGACCCACAGACUCGCUGGGAGCCGCUGGUUGUAACUGGGAGCCAUUGACUGUAACUGGGAUCCACUGGUUGUAACUGGGAGCCACUGGUUGUAACUGGGAGCCACUGGUUGUAACUGGGAUCCACUGUCACUGGGAGCCACUGAUUGUAACUGGGAGCCAUUGACUGUAACUGGGAUCCACUGGUGUCACAGGGAUCCACUGGUUCACUGGGAGCUGCUGGGUGUGAUUGGGAUCCACUGACUGUAACUGGGACCCACUGGUGUUAUUGGGAUCCACUGGUGUCACUGGGACCCACUGUCACUGGGAGCCACUGGUUGUAAUUGGGAGCCAUUGACUGUAACUGGGAGCUGCUGGUUGUAACUGGGAUCCAUUGACUGUAACUGGGACCCACUGGUGUCACUGGGCUCUCCCGGUGUCACUGGGCUCACCCGGUGCCAGCCCAUGCCUGGUCCCCGCAGGCUGUUGGUGUCCCUCUGAUGGAGCAGCUGCUCCGUCCAUCCCUGAGCUGCCGUUCGGUUACCGAGGAUCUCUCGGGGAUCCACCAUGCCGUGUUAAUUUAUAUCCAGAGUUUUUAAUAAAAGGGCCGGAGCCUCGUCCAUGCUGGUGCCGCCGUCCCGACGGAUCCGGGUUGGGAAGGGGCCCUGUUCUGGGCAGCGUUCCCGGUGUUUGCCAGGCUGUGCCCUGCUCCAGGUGCCAUUCCCGGUGUUUGAGGGGCUCUGCUGCAUUCCAGAUGCCGUUCCCAGUGUUUGAGGGGCCGUGCCCCACUCCAGGCAUUGUUCCCGGUGUUUGCCAGGCUGUGCUGCACUCCAGGUGUUGUUCCUGGUGUUUGAGGGGCUCUGCUGCAUUCCAGAUGCUGUUCCCAGUGUUUGAGGGGCCGUGCCCUGCUCCAGGCAUUGUUCCUGAUGUUUGCCAGGCUGUGCCCCACUCCAGGCACUGUUCCCGGUGUUUUCUGGGGUCUGGCUCUGGCACAGAACCGCCGGUACAAAGUUCAUCCCAAGGAGCCACGAGGCCCCAGUUCAACCCCAGGUCAGGCCCAGUUCAACCCCAGUCUGGCCCCACUUCAACCCCACAGAGGCCCCAGUUCAAGCCCAGGUCAGCCCCACCUGAACCCCAGUCUGGCCCCAGUUCAAGCCAAGUUCAACCCCAGUUCAGCCCCACUUGAACCCCAGUCUGGCCCCAGUUCAAGCCCAGUUCAAGCCCAGGUCAGGCCCAGUUCAGCCCCACUUGAACCCCAGAACGGCCCCAGUUCAAACCCAGAAUGGCCCCAGUUCAACCCCACAGAGGCCCCACUUGAACCCCAGUCUGGCCCCAGUUCAAGCCCAGAAUGGCCCCAGUUCAAGCCCAGGUCAGGCCCAGUUCAAACCCAGGUCAGGCCCAGUUCAAACCCAGUUCAAACCCCAGCCCCACUUGAACCCCAGUCUGGCCCCAGUUCAAACCCAGUUCAGCCCCACCUGAACCCCAGUCUGGCCCCAGUUCAAGCCCAGGACUCUGAAUUUAAGGGGUUUUUAAGGGACAAGCACGUGGAAUUCAGGUUUGGUUUUUUAUGAGAAUGCUCCCAGAGUGGGGGUUUGGGGGUGCAGAACGCAUUGGGAGCCCCCCAAACCAUCCCCAAUUUUGGGUUUAUUCACCUCCUCCACCCCCAACGCCCAACCCCGACCCCUUCCCCAAAAAAACUGAAACCACCAAAGGCAGCAAAUACCGAAAAAAGCUCCUUUUUAACGCACUUCACAAAAGCAGAACAACGAGGGCCCGUCCCCCAGCCAGGACCUGGGAAAAGGCUCCAGAAUUGGAUCAACUUCCCCGAAAAAAAAAUCAAAAAAACAAAAAAAAAACCCCAAAAAAAGAACAAAAAACAACAAAAAAAUAAUAAUAAUAAUCCUAUUUUAGACCAAGUCGUCGUGGCAACUACGACCCAUUAAAUAGAGGCCCAGAGAGGGGUGACGGGUCACACAGAGCAACGGGGAGGGGGGGGAACAGGGGAUAAACCAUGGGGGGGGCAGGCACGGGAGCCGUGGUUUAUCUGUACUGAUAACUCAUGCUGUGCUCGCUCCGGCCGUAACCGCCCUGCGACGCCUGGUA
ensembl:lncRNA